UACCGAGGUCCCGAGCGUUGUUCGGUUUCAUUGGGCGUAAAGGGGGCGUAGGUGGCGCCGUCAGUGGGGUGUGAAAUCCCGGGGCUUAACCCCGGGACUGCAUUCCAUACUGCGGUGCUUGAGGACUGGAGAGGAGACUGGAAUUUACGGUGUAGCAGUGAAAUGCGUAGAGAUCGUAAGGAAGACCAGUGGCGAAGGCGGGUCUCUGGACAGUUCCUGACACUGAGGCACGAAGGCCAGGGGAGCAAACGGG
rnacentral:rRNA from 1 species